AAAUAACUUACGCACAGCCAACAUGAAAAGAGGCAACAGAAGGAGAAGGCCAUGUUGGCAAAAAAGGCUUAUUUCAGCUAUCCGAGCAGUCGAGGGAGAGGAGCUCUGCAGACACGCUGUGCAAGGUAAUAUAGAAAUACCCCAAAGUCCUGCUGUGGAAGGUAAAAGGGGGAGAACGGGAGAGAGCCAACAGGAGUCAUUGCUCCAGAAGGAAAGAGAGUUGUUUUUAUGGCUGUGCCAACUUCACCUGAAUUUGCUUAGCCUCCAAGAAAGGAAGAAAAAGAGAGGCAGCCUGAGCACUGAGUGGCAUGGCACUAAUGGACCCGUGACAGGGCUGGUGAGAUACUGCUCUAGUCAAAUGCCACACAAGGACCCAGUCAACCAGACAUAGCCACAAACACUUCUCCCCACAAGUGACACCUUCAAGCAGGUGACUGACCUGCUCUCAGGCACAGCUUGCAGCUCUGCUCGCUUUUCUAUUGUAAGAUCCUGUUCUGAGUUGAUCAUAAAACUCUGCCAGACUUCUACCAUCUGAGCUGAAAUUUUCCAUAUGAGGCAGACACCUCAGCCCGCUGCUGCUGGUUAUUUAUAAUCGGUGCCUCUUUGCUUCCAAAACGCAGACUUGGUCGCUCGCAGUUGGAGAAGGAGGCAGCACAGCACGUAGGAAAGUGAGAGCCUCCGUAUCUCUGGCACAGACUGCCCCUCUCGCGUUUGAAUGGAAAAGAAGACUAAAGUCUGCGGCGGGGUUAGCAAACAACAAACGGACAACAACAAAUGCAGCAUCGAAGAGUGCCAAGAAAAGACUGGGUGCCUUUUCAUGUAGAUGGGCCAAGGUGUUUACACAGAAGUGUUGAGAAAAGGUUCCCUAACCAGAGCUGUGCAAGAGGCCCGGCGAAAGGACACCGAGCUGCCUUCUCAUAUUAGCCAUCUGUCAUCGUUCACACUGCACCAAAUCUUAAAGUACAUUCAUGCACCUAGAAUCCAGUCAGUGGAUUUUCAGGACGUGCCUGUUAGUUAACUAUUAAAUAUUGCCUGGAAAAAAUAAAUACACGGGUAACUGUGAUGCUUAGUGAUAUUAAAUCAUAUUCCUCAUCUCCUUUCCAGUGUAAAACACAGAACAGCUGUUCUUGGAAAACUAAAUAGAGGGUCAAAUACUU